rnacentral:rRNA from 1 species
UGCUAAAAAUCCCGACUUUUUGGAAGGGAUGUAUUUAUUAGAUAAAAGACCAAUGCUUCUUCGGAAGUUCUUUGGUGAUUCAUGAUAACUUUUCGAAUCGCAUGGCCUCGAGCCGGCGAUGGUUCAUUCAAAUUUCUGCCCUAUCAACUUUCGAUGGUAGGAUAGUGGCCUACCAUGGUUUCAACGGGUAACGGGGAAUUAGGGUUCGAUUCCGGAGAGGGAGCCUGAGAAACGGCUACCACAUCCAAGGAAGGCAGCAGGCACGCAAAUUACCCAAUCCCAACACGGGGAGGUAGUGACAAUAAAUAACAAUACAGGGCUUUUUAUGGUCUUGUGAUUGGAAUGAGUACAAUUUAAAUACCUUAACGAGGAACAAUUGGAGGGCAAGUCUGGUGCCAGCAGCCGCGGUAAUUCCAGCUCCAAUAGCGUAUAUUAAAGUUGUUGCAGUUAAAAAGCUCGUAGUUGAACUUUGGGCUUGGUUGGCCGGUCCGCCUCAUUGGUGUGCACUGACCCGACCGAGCCUUUCCUUCUGGACAACUAUAGUGCUUUUUAUUAAGUGCUAUAGGGAGCCAGGACUUUUACUUUGAAAAAAUUAGAGUGUUCAAAGCAGGCAUUCGCUCGAAUAUAUUAGCAUGGAAUAAUAGAAUAGGACGUACGGUUCUAUUUUGUUGGUUCUCUAGGACCGUCGUAAUGAUUAAUAGGGACAGUCGGGGGCAUCAGUAUUCAAUUGUCAGAGGUGAAAUUCUUGGAUUUAUUGAAGACUAACUACUGCGAAAGCAUUUGCCAAGGAUGUUUUCAUUAAUCAAGAACGAAAGUUAGGGGAUCGAAGACGAUCAGAUACCGUCGUAGUCUUAACCAUAAACUAUGCCGACUAGGGAUCGGGCGGUGUUCUUUUUUUGACCCGCUCGGCACCUUACGAGAAAUCAAAGUCU